rnacentral:rRNA from 1 species
GACGAACGCUGGCGGCGUGCUUAACACAUGCAAGUCGAACAGAAAGGCCCUGCUUUCGUGGGGUGCUAGAGUGGCAAACGGGUGUGUAACACGUGAGUAACCUGCCCUACACUUUGGUAUAACUUCAGGAAACUGGGGCUAAUACCGGAUAGGAGCUCCUGAUGCAUGGGGGGGGUUGGAAAGUUUCGGCGGUGGGGGAUGGGCUCGCGGCUUAUCAGCUUGUUGGUGGGGUAGUGGCUUACCAAGGCAUUGACGGGUAGCCGGCCUGAGAGGGUGACCGGCCACAUUGGGACUGAGAUACGGCCCAGACUCCUACGGGAGGCAGCAGUGGGGAAUAUUGCACAAUGGGCGGAAGCCUGAUGCAGCAACGCCGCGUGCGGGAUGACGGCCUUCGGGUUGUAAACCGCUUUCGCCUGUGACGAAGCGUGUGUGACGGUACUUAGUAAAGAAGCACCGGCUAACUACGUG